GGGUUGUUGCUGGCCUCU
rnacentral:rRNA from 1 species